CACGGCGGGAGGCAGCACUUGCUGCCAGGCACCGUGGAAGUAGCGUUGCCUGGAAGAACUGCUGCUCCAAGACCAGCGUGGAGAUACAGCUCUGCAUGCGUGUGUGCAUGCGCAGUUGUUCCAGCAUGUUGUGCAGGAGUAGUUGACUUGACUGAACUCGGUUACGACCAGCACCGGCUGACAAGUUACAUACUUCUGUUAGGAUUCUGACUGAGGGACUGCAGCAAGACCCAUCUGCUCCUGAUUCGACUACAAGUUUUUUGCAUUAAGACAUUAAGCUCUUCCUACAGAGAAGAAACAAACACGCACUAACACCUGCUCCACUGACUUGGGCCUCAGUGCGAGGUAAACCUUCACUUCCUUGACCAUUAGUCUUUACAGAAACCCCGUGCAGCUUGCACGAUGUCACUCUCAAUGACUUCGCAGCUGCCUUCAUUGCAGACUCUGACAAGCCAUCGACCUUCCCGCGCGGCAAGGUCCUGGGGGCAAUUCCAGGCGAGACCUGGCAGGGGGUGGCAUUCCCCUUCGCACGGCUCCCACUGUAAAGGAGGUCAUCUGCACUCG